AUACUAACCUUGCGUAGGGUGUACCGUGAUCAUGAAGGCGGUUGCCCCGGGCCGGCGCCGGCUAUUGCACCGCGGCCGGGAGAAGGCCGGCCUGUGACUAUCCCGUCAGGGGUACGUCGUGCGCGUAAUUUUUGAUAGUGGGACUUGCGUUCUUGCGCAGUCCAU